rnacentral:lncRNA from 10 species
GAAGUCUUCCUGAAGAUCUCUGGCUCUCUCUCUCUCUCUCUCUCUCUCUCUCUCUCUCUGUAUAUCUCUCUCACCUCUAGUACUAUGUCCUGUGAACUCUACCCACUCGGGCAUCCUCAGACUCUUAGCUCUAUCUCUCCCACUCAGGAAGACUGCCAGACUGUCUGCAGUUCCCUGCCCUGUGACACAGUCUGGACACUUUUUCAACACAAUAAACUAGGGAAAUUAUUGGGCUCACUAUUUUGUUACCUGACUCCUGGAAAUAACUGUCCUUCAUUGACUGACAUUCAAUGUCUUGAGGGCCAUCCCUUCAUUGAUUUUGUCCACGUUUUAUUUGUUCGACAUGAAGGUAAAUAUCUAAAUUAUCUGUGGCAACAACUUGGUGGGGUCAACUCGAAUGUUUUUGUCGGCUGUUCUUGAAGACUUCUGGGUCUCUACAACCACAUUCUUUGGCUGGUGCCAGUGUUUAAGCACUCUGAAACUGCAUAGCAGCAUGUUUGAAGGUGGCCUGUCAAAUUUGGGAAACUGACGGUGUGACUGAGCUAGUCACAGGGGUCUUCACAGAAAAGGCAGUCGGGGUCCUGGUCAACUGGAGAUUCCAUCUGAAUGUGAAUGGAUUUAAAAGGUGACUGGAACACUUCUUUCUGACCUCAGAGAUGUGAUGGAUGUCCGGGAAGAUUUUCUCAAGGGCUAGAAGUUAAGAACUUUGUUCCUACUGUUUAUCUUUUUCCCUUUCAUAUUCAAGCCACUUAACCAUACUGAGCCUCAACUUUUUCAUUUAUAAAAUGGAAAUCAUUUUAACUUUUCUCUGGAGGACAGCUGUUGCCUGCCCAUCACUAUUUCCUCCUUUUCUGGUGACAACAUCCUACUUUCCUUCAAAGAAUAAUGCCUACCCCAUUAUAAUAACUUUUACACGGGGCUGUCCCAACACAUGCUGCCUUCAAGGCUAGGUGCAUGACACAGGCCUGGCCAAUCAGUGUGUCCAAUCCCUCUGGCCACUGUGAUUGGUCCAGUUACGGGUAUAUGAUGCAGAUCAAUCCAGUAAAACUCAACCUCGUGACUUUUACUGGAACCAUCAGUCAAGACGCCUUCUUUUUCUGUGAGUUUUCCAGGCUAGGAGAAGGAAAGUUAGAGCCCUGGGAUGCCACGUCAUGAGAAAAGCCUGCCAGAGAGCAAAACUAGCACAAAGGAAAGAAAGUAUUCCAAUAAAAGGGUGACGCUGAAAGCUGAAAUGUGAAUUUGUUAAAUCCUCAAAUAGCCAACAGCUUCUAGGACAAGAUCAUACACAGUUAGGACCUCGAUAACAAUUUGUUAGUGGAAUAGAUAAGAACAUUUUAGAUCCUGUUGCUCAAUUCUGAAAUGCUGCUCUGUGUCAUGAAUAUUGGUUUAUUUUCUUUGUAGAGUGAAGUCAUUAAGACUAGAGCUCCAGGCUUCUUCAUCCAACUCCAAGGGUUCCCAGCAACAUGUGAAGUCCUCUAUCUGUCACUAAGAAGCCGUGUGAGUGAAGCAGGCUAUAUACCUUGGUUUCAACAUCUGUGAACAAGCAAUGGAUGGAUGACUCACCUCUCAUAGGAAUGAUAGAACUUGGAUCAUCUUGUCAAUCACAGAGCUUGGUGGCCUUCUACAAAUGUUUGUGGAAUGAAUAAGUGAGAGAAUGAGAGAUUAAUAAAGCCAAUACUAUCACCAGUCCAACGAAGAGCUGCAACUGAAAAAAAAGUCUGACAAAGUAUGAUGUACAUUGAAAAUGAAAAGAAACCAUUCUAUUCUUCGUGAAGUUAGACCUGGAUAGCUAUGUAUAGCUCUGCUCUCUGCAAUUUAAGAGAAAUAAUCUGGAAAUGCAGAAGAAAUAGGGAAAAGCACUUGUAACGUGCAGUUUUAUGUGUCAACUUGGGUAGGCCAUAAUACCCAGUUAUUUAGUCAAACACUAAUCUAGGUGCAGCUGUGAAGGCACUUUGUAGACGUGUUUAACAUCUAAAAUAAGCUCACAUUAAGUAAGAGAUUAUCCUCAAUAAUGUGGGUGGGCCUCACUGAAUCAAUUGGAAGUCCUGAGAGCAAAAACUGAGGUUUGCCAGGGAAGAAGAAAUUUGACCUCAAAACUGCAACAUAGAAAUCCUGACUAAGCUUCCAGGCUGCUGGCUUGCCCUACAAAUUUCAGAUAUACCAGGCCCCAAUCUUACGAACCAAUUUCUUAAAAUAAAUCAUGUAUGCGUAUUCGUUAAUAUACACACUCAUAUAAAGAACACACAUAUGUGUACAUAUAUGUAUAUGUGUGUGUAUGUUCUAUUGGUUUCGUUUCUCUUGAGAGCCCUCGCUGAUAGAGAUUUUAGUACCAAGAAGUAGGGUGCUAUUGUGUAAAUAAAUAAAUAAAUAAAUAAAAAUAUGGAAGUAGCUUUGGAACUGAAUAAUGGAUAGAGGCUGGAAGAGUUUUUAGGUGCAUGAUAGAAAAAUCUUAGAUUGCUUUGAAGAGAUUCUAAUAGAAAUGUCAGAGGCGUUUGAACCAGAGCAACUCCAUCUUUAACAGGGGCUGGGUAAAAUGAGGCUGAGACCUACUGCGCUGCAUUCCCAGGAGGUUAGACAUUCUAAGUCACAGAAUGAGACAGGAGGUUGGCACAAGAUACAGGUCACAAAGACCUUGCUGAUGAAACAACUUCCAAUAAAGAAGCUGGCCAAAACCCACCAAAACCAAGAUGGUGACAAAAGUGACCUCUGGUGGUCCUCACUGCUCAUUAUACGCUAAUUAUAAUAUAUUAGCUUGCUAAAAGACACCCUCACCAGUGCCAUGACAAUUUACAGAUGCCAUGACAACAUCAGGAAGUUACCCUAUAUGGCCGAAAAGGGGAAGGAACCCCCAGUUCCAGGAAUUGCCCACCCCUUUCCCA